GCUUACGGCCAUACCAGUGUGAAAGCACCCGAUCUUGUCUGAUCUCGGAAGUUAAACACACACAGGCUUGGCUGGUACUUGGAUGGAAGACCGCCUGGGAACCCCGAGUGCUGUAAGCU